rnacentral:lncRNA from 1 species
CAGUGCUGAAUAUUUGGAAACCACUGGACAACAGCUGUUUUAAAGGACAGUAAUACCAACCAGAAUAUAUUUUCUCUUUUGAAGAAAAAUAUUCAUAAUAUUCACAAAAGUAUUUUUUUCUUUUACAUUACUUGAAAAAUGUAAUUUUUCCAAUACUUUUUAUAUCACCUUUUGUGUAUUUUAUGUCUUGAUUAUGGAUGUUCAUACAUUUACAUCCCAGGAGUAAAUACUGUUAUUACACCAUCUAAGUGAACACACCAUGAGUUGGUUGUAAAAUCUAAUUUCAACAGGUGUCAUAUGACCUGCAAAGGUUGAUAAAAACAAGCAGCAUACAUUUACUGCCCAAGUGAGUGGAAAAGUGUUUUGUUUGUAGUAUUUCUCAACUCUUACUGGAGACAAGGAAACCACUGCGAGUGAACUCUACACUUGAUUCAUCCGCACCACAGAAGAAAGAGAUGUGCCAACCGAAGCAGGUCUUGUUUUAGCAAUCAACUGAUGGAACAGCGGAGGGCCAAACAAGUCCGUGUGUUGAUGGAUCUCUGCAGCGGGCGCCAUGAUAAAUGAACACGGUGACGAAUGCUGUUAAACUUCACCGUGAUCGGUUGCAGAUCGACUCCGCCGAUACACAUGACCUCGCUCAUUUUCGUGGGACAAAUAUUGUCUUUGCGAAGUGGAAUGCUUACGGUGCAGGAGGAGCGUUACCGGAGUUUCCGUCGGAAAAAGUCGUUGUUCGCGGAGCAAGUUGGGUAGUAUUCAGCAGGAGGAGCUGGAUGUCGACCCACAAACCCGUUGAAUAAUCUGUAGGAAGCUUGAGGAUCUGCAGCAGAAAACAAAGAUCCGAUCCAGACACGAGUGAUCAGAUAAAGGAGCGAUCUGCAGAUGAAGAGUAAGAGCUCGAGAACUAACCCCAGAUGAGAUGGUUUCAAAGCUCUCUCUCAUCGCAGCUCGCCUCGGGCGCAGAGUCGCCUGCAGUGGAGGAAGAUGCAGAGGAAAGUGCAACGCACAUCUAACCGAUCACAUCCUGAGGAAGUCAGUGAGGCACUGAGUUGGAUCAAAUCUUUUAUACUCUGAAAACUUAAAUAUGAAUUAUUCUUUAGCUUAAGUACACAUGGUACAAAUGUCUAACUUCCCUAUCUACAAUCUUAAGAUAAGAAAACGGGGAAACCAGUAAAUAAACAUUCAAUAAUGAACUCAAGUGUUUAUUUGCUUUCCACACUGUGCAGAUUUAUUUUCUUUAUAUAUAUAUUUAUGGGUAAAGGCAACAUUUUGAGUCCAGCAGCCAAAUGGCUGAUAUGACAAAGAGCAAGAUU